UCUGAAGUUCACCAGGGCUUGUGUAAGAU
rnacentral:piRNA from 1 species